AUUGAACGCUGGCGGCAGGCCUAACACAUGCAAGUCGAGCGGAUGAAGGGAGCUUGCUCCUGGAUUCAGCGGCGGACGGGUGAGUAAUGCCUAGGAAUCUGCCUGGUAGUGGGGGAUAACGUCCGGAAACGGGCGCUAAUACCGCAUACGUCCUGAGGGAGAAAGUGGGGGAUCUUCGGACCUCACGCUAUCAGAUGAGCCUAGGUCGGAUUAGCUAGUUGGUGGGGUAAAGGCCUACCAAGGCGACGAUCCGUAACUGGUCUGAGAGGAUGAUCAGUCACACGGGGACUGAGAGACGGUCCAGACUCCUGGGGGAGGCAGCGGGGGGAAUUAUUGGACAAGGGGCAAGAGCCAGACCGAGCGUUGCGGGGUGUGGAAAAAAGGUUUUGGAUUUUUAAACCAUUUUAAGUGGGGAGGAAGGACAGUAAGUUAUUACCUUGCUUUUUGGAGUUGACAAAAAAAAAAGGCCGGGGCAAUGUUCGGC
rnacentral:rRNA from 1 species